rnacentral:misc_RNA from 1 species
AGUGGUGAAUGGGUUGUAUGCACCGGCAGGCUCUUUGCUCUGGCAUCGAACUGUCGUCUCGUACCCCUCGUCAUUGACGCUUCAAGAUCGGCUUGCGCGGGUUAUUGGGUUCCUGUUUUGGCUACCUGUUGUUAAGGAACGGUGCCUCUCGUUGUCCCUUUCCUCCUGCGGCCCUUCGCGGGCAGCAGGAGGACGUCGUAGCGGUGCUUGCGUCCCGAUCAAGCCGCGGUUCGCCGCGACGUUGCGAAGGUCCGCAAGUUUCUCGCUCGUUAUCUCGGAUGCGGAACGUUAAGCGGCCGCGGGGUCUUCGGGCUCCGAUCGUCCAAUCGGAAGCGUUUUCGCUCGACGCGUACGACCGUCGCGCCCGCGGCGAGCCGGCGACCCGCAAGGUCGUUCGUCUCGCACG